GAUGAACGCUGGCGGCGUGCCUAAUACAUGCAAGUCGAGCGAACGGACGAGAAGCUUGCUUCUCUGAUGUUAGCGGCGGACGGGUGAGUAACACGUGGAUAACCUACCUAUAAGACUGGGAUAACUUCGGGAAACCGGAGCUAAUACCGGAUAAUAUUUUGAACCGCAUGGUUCAAAAGUGAAAGACGGUCUUGCUGUCACUUAUAGAUGGAUCCGCGCCGCAUUAGCUAGUUGGUAAGGUAACGGCUUACCAAGGCAACGAUGCAUAGCCGACCUGAGAGGGUGAUCGGCCACACUGGAACUGAGACACGGUCCAGACUCCUACGGGAGGCAGCAGUAGGGAAUCUUCCGCAAUGGGCGAAAGCCUGACGGAGCAACGCCGCGUGAGUGAUGAAGGUCUUCGGAUCGUAAAACUCUGUUAUUAGGGAAGAACAUAUGUGUAAGUAACUGUGCACAUCUUGACGGUACCUAAUCAGAAAGCCACGGCUAACUACGUGCCAGCAGCCGCGGUAAUACGUAGGUGGCAAGCGUUAUCCGGAAUUAUUGGGCGUAAAGCGCGCGUAGGCGGUUUUUUAAGUCUGAUGUGAAAGCCCACGGCUCGACCGUGGAGGGUCAUUGGAAACUGGAAAACUUGAGUGCAGAAGAGGAAAGUGGAAUUCCAUGUGUAGCGGUGAAAUGCGCAGAGAUAUGGAGGAACACCAGUGGCGAAGGCGACUUUCUGGUCUGUAACUGACGCUGAUGUGCGAAAGCGUGGGGAUCAAACAGGAUUAGAUACCCUGGUAGUCCACGCCGUAAACGAUGAGUGCUAAGUGUUAGGGGGUUUCCGCCCCUUAGUGCUGCAGCUAACGCAUUAAGCACUCCGCCUGGGGAGUACGACCGCAAGGUUGAAACUCAAAGGAAUUGACGGGGACCCGCACAAGCGGUGGAGCAUGUGGUUUAAUUCGAAGCAACGCGAAGAACCUUACCAAAUCUUGACAUCCUUUGACAACUCUAGAGAUAGAGCCUUCCCCUUCGGGGGACAAAGUGACAGGUGGUGCAUGGUUGUCGUCAGCUCGUGUCGUGAGAUGUUGGGUUAAGUCCCGCAACGAGCGCAACCCUUAAGCUUAGUUGCCAUCAUUAAGUUGGGCACUCUAAGUUGACUGCCGGUGACAAACCGGAGGAAGGUGGGGAUGACGUCAAAUCAUCAUGCCCCUUAUGAUUUGGGCUACACACGUGCUACAAUGGACAAUACAAAGGGCAGCGAAACCGCGAGGUCAAGCAAAUCCCAUAAAGUUGUUCUCAGUUCGGAUUGUAGUCUGCAACUCGACUACAUGAAGCUGGAAUCGCUAGUAAUCGUAGAUCAGCAUGCUACGGUGAAUACGUUCCCGGGUCU
rnacentral:rRNA from 1 species